rnacentral:rRNA from 1 species
GACGAACGCUGGCGGCGUGCUUAACACAUGCAAGUCGAACGGAAAGGCCCUGCUUUUGUGGGGUGCUCGAGUGGCGAACGGGUGAUUAACACGUGAGUAACCUGCCCUUGACUUUGGGAUAACUUCAGGAAACUGGGGCUAAUACCGGAUAGGAGCUCCUGCUGCAUGGUGGGGGUUGGAAAGUUUCGGCGGUUGGGGAUGGACUCGCGGCUUAUCAGCUUGUUGGUGGGGUAGUGGCUUACCAAGGCUUUGACGGGUAGCCGGCCUGAGAGGGUGACCGGCCACAUUGGGACUGAGAUACGGCCCAGACUCCUACGGGAGGCAGCAGUGGGGAAUAUUGCACAAUAGGCGGAAGCCUGAUGCAGCAACGCCGCGUGCGGGAUGACGGCCUUCGGGUUGUAAACCGCUUUCGCCUGUGACGAAGCGUGAGUGACGGUAAUGGGUAAAGAAGCACCGGCUAACUACGUG